ACUAUCAGUAAUAUUUAUUAAAUAACUUUUAGGAUAAGCUAUGGCAAGAAGAUAAAGAUGCCAAUGAAUGUCAACUUUGCAUACAGCAGUUUUCACUAUCUAAACGAAAACACCAUUGUCGAAACUGUGGUGGGAUAUUCUGUCAUUCAUGCUCGGACAAUACUCUUGCUCUAAAGUCCUCUGCAAAACCUGUGCGUGUUUGUGAUACAUGCUAUGAAGCACUACUUUCCAGAUGCACUCCGAAACCUAACUGAAAUUCAUUCUUUAAGACCUCCUAAUCCCAGCAACUUUAAAAAACCUUGAUAAAUGUAUAUGUGAUUGUAAUGUGAAUGUAAAUGA